rnacentral:rRNA from 1 species
ACUGCUCAGUAACACGUGGACAACCUACCCUGAGGUCGGGGAUAAACCCGGGAAACUGGGUAUAAUACCCGAUAGAUCUAGAUCGCUGGAAUGCUUUUAGGUCUAAAGUUCCGACGCCUCAGGAUGGGUCUGCGGCCUAUCAGGGUAGUAGUGGGUGUAAAGUACCUACUAGCCCACGACGGGUACGGGUUGUGAGAGCAAGAGCCCGGAGAUGGAUUCUGAGACACGAAUCCAGGCCCUACGGGGUGCAGCAGGCGCGAAACCUUUACAAUGCUGGCAACAGCGAUAAGGGGACCUCGAGUGCUACGAUACAAUCGUGGCUGUCUAGUUGCCUAAAAAGCAAUUGAUAGCAAGGGCCGGGCAAGACCGGUGCCAGCCGCCGCGGUAACACCGGCGGCUCGAGUGGUAACCGCUAUUAUUGGGUCUAAAGGGUCUGUAGCCGGCUUAGUUAGUCUCUUGAGAAAUCUGGCCGCUCAACGGUCAGGCGUUCAGGGGAUACUGCUAAAGCUCGAGACCGGGAGAGGUGAGAGGUACUUCAGGGGUAGAGGUGAAAUCUUGUAAUCCUUGAAGGACCACCAGUGGCGAAGGCGUCUCACCAGAACGGAUCUGACGGCAAGGGACGAAAGCUAGGGGCACGAACCGGAUUAGAUACCCGGGUAGUCCUAGCCGUAAACGAUACUCGCUAGGUGUCGGCCACGGUGCGACCGUGGUCGGUGCCGUAGGGAAGCCGUGAAGCGAGCCACCUGGGAAGUACGGCCGCAAGGCUGAAACUUAAAGGAAUUGGCGGGGGAGCAC